CCUACGGGAGGCAGCAGUGGGGAAUAUUGCGCAAUGGGCGAAAGCCUGACGCAGCGACGCCGCGUGAGGGAUGAAGGUCUUCGGAUCGUAAACCUCUGUCAGCAGGGAAGAACGGUCACUGUGCUAAUCAGCAGUGAAUUGACGGUACCUGCAACGGAAGCACCGGCUAACUCCGUGCCAGCAGCCGCGGUAAUAUGGAGGGUGCGAGCGUUAAUCGGAAUUACUGGGCGUAAAGCGCUCGUAGGCGGUAUGUCAAGUCAAGGGUGAAAUCCCCGCGCUCAACGUGGGAACUGCCUUUGAAACUGGCAGACUGGAGUGUGUGAGAGGAUAGUGGAAUUCCAGGUGUAGGAGUGAAAUCCGUAGAUAUCUGGAGGAACAUCAGUGGCGAAGGCGACUAUCUGGCACAUAACUGACGCUGAGGAGCGAAAGCGUGGGUAGCAAACAGGAUUAGAUACCCCGGUAGUC
rnacentral:rRNA from 1 species